rnacentral:rRNA from 1 species
UUUAGUGGCGGACGGGUGAGUAACACGGUGAGCAACCUGCCUUCGAGAGGGGAAUAACGGCUGGAAACGGUCGCUAAUACCGCAUAACGUACGGAUGGGACAUCCUGUCUGUACCAAAGGAUUUAUCGCUCGAAGAUGGGCUCGCGUCCGAUUAGGUAGUUGGUGAGGUAACGGCCCACCAAGCCGACGAUCGGUAGCCGGACGUGAGAGGUUGAACGGCCACAUUGGGACUGAGACACGGCCCAGACUCCUACGGGAGGCAGCAG